AACACAUACAGCUAGCGGUUUCUUUCUAGCAAGCUGGCUAAGCGGGCUUGGAUGUUCGUUUGUGAAGAUUUGUUUCAUUUUUCUUUAUAUAAAACACGUCGGGAAUUCCUUAUAGCCUGGAAAUAUGUCUGCUUCACAAGCAGUCCAUAGCGUACUGAAUUUGUAGUUACAGAUAUCUAGAAAACAAGUUGCUGUUGUUAGCUAGUGUUUAGCUGUCUAGCCAGAACUUCAGUCUUCAUGUUGUGAUUUCAUAUCAGGGGAACAUCGAAUCUUCAGCAUCAUCACAGUUCUCGGGUUCCCCUCCUCCGUCAGAUGGCGUUCUGCCUGGCCGAGCUUCACUGUUGGUCCUCCAGCAGCUCACUACAAGUCAGAGAUACAGAUAUUGGCACCCAUCAGUACUAUGACAAAGGAGAGCCAGG